GGAGCUCACGCGUUAAGUAGACCGCCUGGGGAGUGCGGUCGCAAGAUUAAAACUCAUAUGAAUUGACGGGGGCCCGCACAAGCGGUGGAGCAUGUGGUUUAAUUCGAUGCAACGCGAAGAACCUUACCUACUCUUGACAUCCAGAGAAGCCAGCGGAGACGCAGGUGUGCCUUCGGGAGCUCUGAGACAGGUGCUGCAUGGCUGUCGUCAGCUCGUGUUGUGAAAUGUUGGGUUAAGUCCCGCAACGAGCGCAACCCUUAUCCUUGUUUGCCAGCGAGUAAUGUCGGGAACUCCAGGGAGACUGCCGGUGAUAAACCGGAGGAAGGUGGGGACGACGUCAAGUCAUCAUGGCCCUUACGAGUAGGGCUACACACGUGCUACAAUGGCGCAUACAGAGGGCACGCAAGCUAGCGAUAGUGAGCGAAUCCCAAAAAAGUGCGUCUGUAGUCCGGAUUGGAGUNUGCAACUCGACUCCAUGAAGUCGGAAUCGCUAGUAAUCGUGNAUCAGAAUGUCACGGUGAAUACGUUCCCGGGCCUUGUACACACCGCCCGUCACACCAUGGGAGUGGGCUGCAAAAGAAGUGGGUAGUUUNNCCUUCGGGGAGGACGCU
rnacentral:rRNA from 1 species